rnacentral:rRNA from 1 species
GACGAACGCUGGCGGCGUGCUUAACACAUGCAAGUCGAACGGAAAGGCCCUGCUUUUGUUGGGUGCUCGAGUUGCGAACGGGUGAGUAACACGUGUGUAACCUGCCCUUUACUUUGGGAUAACUUCUGGAAACUUGGGCUAAUACCUGAUAUUAGCUCCUGCUGCAUGGUGUGGUUUGUAAAGUUUCGGCGGUUGGGGAUGGACUCGCGGCUUAUCAGCUUGUUUGUGGGGUAGUGGCUUACCAAGGCUUUGACGGGUAGCCGGCCUGAGAGGGUGACCGGCGACAUUGGGACUGAGAUAAGGCGAAGAAUAAUACGGGAGGCAGCAGUGGGGAAUAUUGCACAAUGGGAGGAAGCCUGAUGCAGAAACGCCGGGUGCGGGAUGACGGCCUUCGGGUUGUAAAGAGCAUUCGAAUGUGACGAAGCGUGAGUGACGGUAAUGGGUAAAGAAGCACCGGCUAACUACGUG